GGGUGAUGGCGUGCCUUUUGUAGAAUGAACCGGCGAGUUACGAUUUGAUGCAAGGUUAAGCAGUAAAUGUGGAGCCGUAGCGAAAGCGAGUCUGAAUAGGGCGUUUAGUAUUUGGUCGUAGACCCGAAACCAGGUGAUCUACCCUUGGUCAGGUUGAAGUUCAGGUAACACUGAAUGGAGGACCGAACCGACUUACGUUGAAAAGUGAGCGGAUGAACUGAGGGUAGCGGAGAAAUUCCAAUCGAACCUGGAGAUAGCUGGUUCUCUCCGAAAUAGCUUUAGGGCUAGCCUCAAGUGAUGAUUAUUGGAGGUAGAGCACUGUUUGGACGAGGGGCCCCUCUCGGGUUACCGAAUUCAGACAAACUCCGAAUGCCAAUUAAUUUAACUUGGGAGUCAGAACAUGGGUGAUAAGGUCCGUGUUCGAAAGGGAAACAGCCCAGACCACCAGCUAAGGUCCCAAAAUAUAUGUUAAGUGGAAAAGGAUGUGGCGUUGCCCAGACAACUAGGAUGUUGGCUUAGAAGCAGCCAUCAUUUAAAGAGUGCGUAAUAGCUCACUAGUCGAGUGACACUGCGCCGAAAAUGUACCGGGGCUAAACAUAUUACCGAAGCUGUGGAUUGUCCUUUGGACAAUGGUAGGAGAG
rnacentral:rRNA from 1 species